rnacentral:rRNA from 1 species
UUGACCUCGGAUCAGGUAGGGAUACCCGCUGAACUUAAGCAUAUCAAUAAGCGGAGGAAAAGAAACCAACAGGGAUUGCUUCAGUAACGGCGAGUGAAGCGGCAACAGCUCAAAUUUGAAAUCUGGCUCUUUUAGGGUCCGAGUUGUAAUUUGUAGAGGAUGCUUCGGCGUCGGCUCCGGUCUAAGUUCCUUGGAACAGGACGUCAUAGAGGGUGAGAAUCCCGUAUGUGAUCGGUUGCCCUUGCCAUGUGAAGCUCCUUCGACGAGUCGA